ACGAGACACGUGAAACCUUGUGGGAAGCAGGGAGGACCACCUCCCAAGGCUAAAUACUACCUGAUGACCGAUAGUGAAGCAGUACCGUGAGGGAAAGGUGAAAAGAACCCCGGGAGGGGAGUGAAAUAGAACCUGAAACCGUGUGCCUACAACCGCUCAGAGCCCCUUAUGAGGGUGAUGAGGUGCUUUUUGUAGAACGAGCCAACGAGUUACGGUAUGUAGCAAGGUUAAGUACUUAAGGUACGGAGCCGAAGGGAAACCGAGUCUGAAUAGGGCGACUAGUUGCAUGCCGUAGACCCGAAACCGGGUGACCUAUCCAUGGCCAGGUUGAAGCGAGGGUAAAACCUCGUGGAGGACCGAACCACGUUGCUGUUGAAAAAGCAUGGGAUGAGCUGUGGAUAGCGGAGAAAUUCCAAUCGAACCCGGAGAUAGCUGGUUCUCUCCGAAAUAGCUUUAGGGCUAGCGUCGAGUAUGAGUAGUGGAGGUAGAGCACUGAAUGGGCUAGGGGGCAUAGCGCUUACCGAACCUUAUCAAACUCCGAAUGCCACAUACUUUGAGCUCGGCAGUCAGACUACGAAUGAUAAGAUCCGUGGUCAAAAGGGAAACAGCCCAGAUCGUCAGCUAAGGUCCCAAAGUGUAAGUUAAGUGGGAAAGGAUGUGAGAUUUCUAAGACAACUAGGAUGUUGGCUUAGAAGCAGCCAUUCAUUAAAAGAGUGCGUAAUAGCUCACUAGUCGAGAGAUCUUGCGCCGAAAAUGUAACGGGGCUAAACUUACCACCGAAGCUACGGGCUUGAACUUAGUUCAAGCGGUAGGAGAGCGUCGUAACCGGGCUGAAGUCGUACCGUAAGGAGCGGUGGACUGGUUACGAGUGAGAAUGUUGGCAUCAGUAGCGAGAUGUGGGUGAGAAUCCCACAGGCCGAAAACCUAAGGUUUCCUCAGGAAGGUUCGUCCGCUGAGGGUUAGUCGGGACCUAAGCCGAGGCCGAAAGGCGUAGGUGAUGGACAACUGGUUGAUAUUCCAGUACCACUACCAUCGUUAUUAUCGAUGGCGUGACGCAGGAGGAUAGUGUGUGCUAGCUAUUGGAUGCUAGUCUAAG
rnacentral:rRNA from 1 species